GGACGCGAGGGCGAUCUGGCUGUGACAUCUGUCACCCCAUUGAUCACUAGGGUUGAUUCGGCUGAUCUGGCUGGCUAGGCAGGUGACCCUUCCUCCCUCAUUGCUCGAUGUUCGUCCCUCCCGAAACUGCUUGGCUGAGGAGGAUGACCAGCCCUGACAGAGGAGGGUAUAGGACUCAGUCAAGGGUAUAGGACUCACUCAAGUGUAUAGGACUAGCUGUGCUCCCCUGCUAGAAUCUCCUAACAAGCUCUCAAGAAUGGGCAAAAGAAGAGGCCAGAUGGUUCACAGAAUAAUAAAUGAAAAUAACCUUUUUUUUCUUAACAGUGCUGGGGAUCAAA
rfam:Heterocephalus glaber contig28557, whole genome shotgun sequence.